GUAGCUGGGGAUGCAUCAAAACCCCUAUAUCCUUUUCAGUCCUCGUACCAAUAUAUAGCCUCUCCUUUGAAUCUAUACAACACUAACUCUACUGUCUCUCUACCCGUUACAUGUAUAACAUCUAAGGCCCUUUGAAUUUGAUCAAUAAAGUCCUGUGGGUCCUCGUUAAGAUCUGAUCCAGUAAAAGUGGGAGGAUCCAUCUUAAGAAAAUCCUGUGUUCGAAGGCUAGCCACCCUAUCUGUACCACUAGGACCCGUGGUAGGAAUGGCUUGCCCUUGAGCUUGCCCAACAACUAUACGAGUCAAAAGUUGCACUGCAUUUCUAAGAUCUUGAUCAACUACAUUAAUAGGUGGCUCUGGGGAUAUAGUUCUCC
rnacentral:lncRNA from 1 species